AUUCCGAGUUUUUGGUCAAGUUGUGGCUAGAUUUUUCUCGACCGACCUGUUCGAGGUCCACAUUGGUAGAAUUGAACGUGUUUCGGCCCAGGCAAGUUUCAGCAGGAAGAGUUGAGUUCCAAGAUUUCGGUCAAGCUACUACUGCUAUGACGUAUGACUGUGCCAUGGCUAGAAGUGCAUCAAGAGAUACUAUUUCUACAUUACAGAGAUCACUUUUGCAGCUAAUGAGGAUGAACUGUGCAGAACCAACUUCCUACAUCAUUGAAGGCCUGAAGAAAACAAUCUGUUAAUUACAUGGACAGCUGGAAAAGCAUCCCAGGAGGCCACCGCAUGGAACUGGUGUGGAGGAGGAAGUAGGGUUAGCCAGUCCCUGGAGCAAUUGGGGUUAAGGCCCUUACUCAAGGGCCCAAUGGUGGGAUCACUCUUCCAACUGAGGAAUUUGAAUCGGUAACCUUCUGAAUCUGAAACCACACAGCUGCUCCCCCCCAGCAUGUUUUUUUUGUGUGUAAUACGAAGUGUCUUUUUGGUCAGUGCAUAAUUCCA